UCUACUAUUUCCCUCUGAAGAGGAAAGAUUCUUAACCAAAGUUGGAUCUAAGUCUGGCCCCAAAGACUGUCUGUGCUAGUUACAAAAGGGCACAAGCCCAAUAGUGAAAGGAUGAAGCUCUGGACACAGCCCGAGAUACGCUGCCCCAGCACUGCCUUCAGAGUGCCCCCGUGCCUGACACCCCGGCAGGAGUCCCCGGCGGGCGACACAGAAAGGAGCCCACUGCCUGCUUUGACAAUGCAGUCAGAUCACAUGCUCCCGAAGGGAUCGCUCUACUCAGGUAACCACCUGCAGGCACUCAGCACACCAGCAAACGGAUCAGACCACCAAAACUUCCAGAAACCAUCAAGGAGAAGGGUGGGGAGGAAGAAACAUGUGGUUGCCCUGAACUGCUAAGUGUUCUGCUCCUUUGCAGUAUCUGCAGCAUUUUAAAUUCUCUUGUUUAACCAUUUUGAAACCUGAUAGGUUUCGCAGACCUUUCCGUCCCAGGACCUGGGCUCCCUCCAAGGCACUGUUUUUAAAACAGGCCUUUUUACAUUACCCGCUCCUGGAACAUCAUCUGUCUCUAAGUUUCCAGCGCUUACUGAGGUCAAUUUUCAUUUCUGCAAAUCACGGGCAGCCACUUGCUUCUGAGAAGUUAACAAGCCUCCUGAGAAAUGCUGGUGGCUGCUAUUUCAUUGUUUCAUAAAUAUUUUUAUACAGUGACACCAUUCAGACCUUAAAUAAAUCUUUAAAAAAAGAAAGACAACUAAAAAGCAAAGAAAAUGAUGAUCUGGAUUUUAUUUAUUUCCGUGGGAGGAAGAAUAAGGCAAGGGUGAGCUCCCCUAUUGUUUCCAACUCAUUUAAAAAUGUUCCUUCAGUUCAAAAAAAAAAAAAUUAUAUAUAUAUACAUGUACACACACACACACACACAUACACGCACACACAAAUGCAUUUUAGAAAAGAGAAACUCGUGGAAGUUGAACUUUCUUGAAAACGGGCCUCUGGACUUUGGAAAAACAGUGUUGCUGCUGCGAACAAAGACUAAGAAGUACCCCCUGAUUUUUCUGCUCUCCUGGGGAUCCUCUCUCUUCCAAUAAACAAACAAAUCCCCCAGUAUUUCCUACCGAAGGGAAGUUUUCCAGGGAGAGUCUCCUCCAGGGUUUGGUGGAAACAGCUGUGAGGACCAAUGAGCUACAGUGACAUACAACACGGAGGCUCUCGGACCACGCUGCAUGAAAGACCUAAAGCACAAAGGUGGCAUCUAAGAACAUGUUCUUUGGAUCAACCUGAGGCAGCUCCAGAAGGCUGCUGAUAAAGAAGUUUGACAUUCAAAAUGGUGGAAUUGCUGGAUUCCAGAAAUGACUCACCAAUGAUUCUGACCUGAGGAAAAUUCAUUAUCUACAAAGUAAAGAGAGAAGAAGUGUCCCACUUCCCUGACGAUGGAACCCUGGUUGUACCCAGAACUCCAGGCCUCCACUCCAUAAUUCAGGGAGGCACAGUCCUCACUCUUCAGGUCCGGCUUUCUGGCGAUCUCCUUUGCUUUGCCGGCAAAUGCCACCUAGAUAAUACACUCCUUCCUGGCCUUGUUCAAGUGGGUUCCCCUCACUUCCUCUUCCGGGAAACAUGACGUACAUCCCCCAGGAAUAUUAUAGGAGGGGUUCCUGCCUUGUGUGGGAAAUGCAGAAGGUCCUUUCCAGCUCUGGAAUUCUCUGCUCCUGCGCUCUGCAGAAAGGAACCCUGUGGAGCCCCGGGAGGGAGUUCCUCAGGGAGGCGACAGGCUGUGGUCGACACCAGGAGUGCAGGGCUUGGAGGCAGACGUCCUGAGCAGGAUCCGGUGAUUCCGUGACCAAUCCUGGGGCUCCGGCUCAAUCACAGAAGGUCUCAGAAACUCAGUUUUCUUACCUACGCAAUGGGGAUAAAAGCAGCCCCUACCUCAGGAUAAGGGUUGAAUGAGAAAACCAUCAAAGUGCCUUUCAAUGUGAAGUCCUAUUUAUAGAUCAUUACUUUCAAGAAAAACUCAACACAAAGAGCAGAAAUGAAAGGCUUUUGUUUACCUUACUGGAAACAGAGAACUGAAAUAUAAAGACAUUUGUUGGGAAAUAGUUUGGGGCAAGUGGUGGUCUUUUCCAGGGAAGAUUUCACGCUCUUUGCCCCACCAGCUUUUCCCAGUAACACCACUGUUUCUAAGUGCUUCUAAAGAGCAGCACAGCUGAGAGCAGGGGAGAAAGAGGAGUCUCUUGGACAGUGGCCUGCAGCCCCGCUGCCACCAACUAUUAAUAGCCUAUAAACCCUUGGAGUGGAGCCCCGGCCGCUCCCCACCCCCCGGGACAGCAGAGGGGUCAGAGCACUGCCUGAUAUGGUCUCAGAAUACUGGUGAUCCCUGGAGUUCUCCCAGUUAGGGAACUUUUCUCCAGCUGGGCGGGGCCUGGCUGGGCUUCCUCCUGCAGAGACCCCAGCCUGAACCGCUAGUCAGGUUCACAUUCAGCGAGCUUUCAUUGACCUCUUUCUGGGUCCCCAGGCCCCACACCAGCUGCCUUGACACACAGGAUCUCAUUGUACCUUCACAGCAACGAGCACAGCUAUCCUAUGGAAAUGGGAACCCAGCUCAGAAAGGGGUCAUGACCUGUUCCAGGUCGUUCAGAAAGGAAAUUUGGUUCUAAAACCCAAUUCGCCUGUCUCCAAGCCAGUGCUCUAAGCUUUGCAUGGUGGCACUGUGCAGUCUGGGAGACUCCUGGUCUUCAGCAAGACCAUCAAAAUCCUCUGGCCAUGCUGGCAAUAAGGGUGAGGGGCCUGAGGAUAAAGUGAGUCAGAGAGCAAGACCAAAGGCAGCCUGGCACCCGGACUCUGUGGAUUGGAGAAGCUGACAUGACCCUGCUCUGGAGGCCUGGGAGACACAGGCUCAGAGAGCAGAUGGGGCCCCUCUGUCCCUCUGUUCACGGGCACACCGGAUCCUAUCCCUUCCCUGCUUGGACAACCUUAGAGACCCUCUCUGCUCUCUGAAUGCAGCACAAGGAUAGUCCCUUAGCUUGACAUUUGGGGUCCUCCAUGACCGAACUCGUGUUCUUUCAACAUUUACUCCUAUUCUUUCCCUUCUGUUCCCAUCCACACGUAUUUACAGGUGCUGGGAUAGCAUUUUGAGGGAAAGGAUCACAUCUUAGAUCUUUUUUGGACCUCCAGGCCCUGGCCCAGCUGUGAUGCUCAGGAACUGCAGGAAGAGCUGCCCCUUGUCAACGGGGUCCAGAGGGCUGGAAUAGAAGGGAUGGGGCAGGGAUCCCUGGGUGGCGCAGCGGUUUGGCGCCUGCCUUUGGCCCAGGGCGCGAUCCUGGAGACCCGGGAUCGAAUCCCACAUCGGGCUCCCUGCAUGGAGCCUGCUUCUCCCUCUGCCUAUGUCUCUGCCUCUCUCUCUCUGUGUGUGACUAUCAUGAAUAAAUAAAUAAAAUCUUAAAAAAAAAAAAAAAAAAAGAAGGGAUGGGGCAUAGGACGUGGGGCAAGGAGACCACAGACUGAGGAAGGUCCAGACUGCCCCUUCUGACCCCAGGGCUGAGUUCAAGAGAUCCUAGGCUGGGGCACCCAGGUGGCUCAGUGGUUGAGCCUUUGGCUCAGGUCGUGAUCCUGGUGUCCUGAGAUCAAGUCCCACAGUGGGCUCCCCACAGGGGGCCUGCUUCUCCCUCUGCCUGUGUCU